GACGAACCGUGCGAACGUUGUUCGGAUUCACUGGGCUUAAAGGGCGCGUAGGCGGCUCCUCAAGUCGGGGGUGAAAUCCUCUCGCUUAACGAGAGAAUUGCCUCCGAUACUGGGGAGCUGGAGGGGGAUAGGGGUGCGCGGAACUUCCGGUGGAGCGGUGAAAUGCGUAGAUAUCGGAAGGAACGCCGGUGGCGAAAGCGGCGCACUGGAUCCCCACUGACGCUGAAGCACGAAAGCGUGGGGAGCAAACAGG
rnacentral:rRNA from 1 species